AUUGAACGCUAGCGGGAUGCCUUACACAUGCAAGUCGAACGGAGUGGCGAACGGGUGAGUAAUGUAUCGGAACGUGCCCAGCAGCGGGGGAUAACUACGCGAAAGCGUAGCUAAUACCGCAUACUAUUUGAGCGGCCGAUAUCGGAUUAGCUAGUUGGUGGGGUAACGGCUUACCAAGGCGACGAUCCGUAGCUGGUUUGAGAGGACGACCAGCAACACUGGGACUACGACACGGCCCAGACUCCUACGGGAGGCAGCAGUGGGGAAUAUUGGGCAAUGGGGGAAACCCUGAUCCAGCCAUCCCGCGUGUGCGAUGAAGGCCGUCGGGUUGUAAAGCACUUUUGGCAGGAAAGCGGUACCUGCAGAAUAAGCACCGGCUAACUACGUGCCAGCCGCCGCGGUAAUAC
rnacentral:rRNA from 1 species